rnacentral:rRNA from 1 species
AUUGAACGCUGGCGGCAGGCUUAACACAUGCAAGUCGAACGAGUGGCGGACGGGUGAGUAAUGCUUGGGAAUCUAGCUUAUGGAGGGGGAUAACUACUGGAAAAGGUAGCUAAUACCGCAUACCAUCGGAUGUGCCCAGAUUGGAUUAGCUAGUAGGUGGGGUAACGGCUAACCUAGGCGACGAUCCCUAGCUGGUCUGAGAGGAUGAACAGCCACACUGGAACUGAUCCACGGCCCAGACUCCUACGGGAGGCAGCAGUGGGGAAUAUUGCACAAUCGGCGCAAGCCUGAUGCAGCCAUGCCGCGUGUAUGAAGAAGGCCGUCGGGUUGUAAAUUACUUUCAGCGAGGAGGCGUUACUCGCAGAAGAAGCACCGGCUAACUCCGUGCCAGCCGCCGCGGUAAUAC